rnacentral:lncRNA from 1 species
AGCGCUUUUAUAGCUUCCUUCUGGAAGUUCAAGAUAUGCCAUAAAACAUAAAGCCUAAGGUACCUAGGAAAAAUCAUCUUCUAAAAUACAGCAAUUAUUUCAUUUUUUUCCCUGGGAGUUUUACGGGGUUUGUUUUUUGAAAGGUUUGAUCCAGCUUCUUCCCCUUCCUCUCUUUCUUUUUUAUAGUGAGAGGCCCAGAGAUUGGAGUCCAGCAGUAAAACAUACCCACUGCCUGCAGCACCUCCCAGCAACGAACGGACCCAUAACCAUCUCUACCUUGGCCUUCUUCCCUUCCUUCCCAGUGGAAGAGGGUUCCUCUUCCAGUCCACGGGAGCCCAAGGAGCCUCCCUGUAUGUCUCUUUGUAAGUCAGCUUUAUUGAGGUAUAACAUACACAAUAAAUGACAUCCAUUUAAAGCGUACAAGUUGUUGAAUUUUGAUGCCAUGAAACCACUGCCAAAAUCAAGAUACAGAAUAUCUCCAUUACCUCCAAAAAUUUCCUCGUACCUCUCUGUUGUUCAUUCCUUUCUCUCUACUUCUAACCUUAAGCAACCACUGAUCUACUUCCCAUCACUCUAGGUUAGUUUGCAUUUUCUAAAACGUCAUGUAAAUGGAAUCAUGCAGUACGUAUUCUUUGUUGUCUGGCUUUUUUCACCCAACAUAAUGAUUUUGAGAUUCAUCCAUAUCGUGUGCAUAGCGGUCAGUCGUGCCUUUUCAUAACUGAGUUAUAUUUUGUUGUAUGGAUGCACCACUUUUGUUUAUCCAUUUUCCUGGUGGUUGGGUUGUUUCUAGUUCGUGGCUGUUGAUUCUCCUCUAUCUUUA